GAAGAUGAGAGUAUGACCCUGCUGUGACAUUUGUUGGCCAGGGUCUGGUCAGCUGAUCUGCUAGGGAGAUGGGUGUCCCUUCUCUCCCUCACUGCUUCAUGUGCAUGCCUCCUGAAGCUCGUUGGUUGGUUGAAGAGGAAAGCAAGACCUCCUUUGCAGAGGGAGACAUUCUUCAAUCAAAAGUAUACCACCAACUGUGCUCUUCCGGAAGAACCCCCAAAAGUCACUUUCACAGAGAUGGGAGCAUGAAUCCUAUAAGGCCCCUAGGCCCAUUUUUGGAGCCUUAUUUAGAAAUUUGUAGGCAUGAAGA
rnacentral:snRNA from 1 species